rnacentral:rRNA from 1 species
UGGGGAAUAUUGGACAAUGGGCGCAAGCCUGAUCCAGCCAUGCCGCGUGAGUGAUGAAGGCCUUAGGGUUGUAAAGCUCUUUCAGCAGGGAAGAUAAUGACGGUACCUGCAGAAGAAGCCCCGGCUAACUCCGUGCCAGCAGCCGCGGUAAUACGGAGGGGGCUAGCGUUGUUCGGAUUUACUGGGCGUAAAGCGCGCGUAGGCGGCUUGCCAAGUUGGGGGUGAAAGCCCAGGGCUCAACCCUGGAAUUGCCCUCAAAACUGGCUCGCUAGAGACCGGGAGAGGUGAGUGGAAUUCCCAGUGUAGAGGUGAAAUUCGUAGAUAUUGGGAAGAACACCAGUGGCGAAGGCGGCUCACUGGACCGGUACUGACGCUGAGGCGCGAAAGCGUGGGGAGCAAACAGGAUUAGAUACCCCCGUAGUCC